GCCCUUCCUACGGGAGGCAGCAGUAGGGAAUCUUCCGCAAUGGGCGAAAGCCUGACGGAGCAACGCCGCGUGAGUGAUGAAGGUCUUCGGAUCGUAAAACUCUGUUACUAGGGAAGAACAAGGAUGUAAGUAACUGUGCAUCCCUUGACGGUACCUAAUCAGAAAGCCACGGCUAACUACGUGCCAGCAGCCGCGGUAAUACGUAGGUGGCAAGCGUUAUCCGGAAUUAUUGGGCGUAAAGCGCGCGUAGGCGGUUUUUUAAGUCUGAUGUGAAAGCCCACGGCUCAACCGUGGAGGGUCACUGGAAACUGGAAAACUUGAGUGCAGAAGAGGAAAGUGGAAUUCCAUGUGUAGCGGUGAAAUGCGCAGAGAUAUGGAGGAACACCAGUGGCGAAGGCGACUUUCUGGUCUGCAACUGACGCUGAUGUGCGAAAGCGUGGGGAUCAAACAGGAUUAGAUACCCUGGUAGUCCACGCCGUAAACGAUGAGUGCUAAGUGUUAGGGGGUUUCCGCCCCUUAGUGCUGCAGCUAACGCAUUAAGCACUCCGCCUGGGGAGUACGGCCGCAAGGCUGAAACUCAAAGGAAUUGACGGAAGGGC
rnacentral:rRNA from 1 species